UCUGUAAGAAUGGCUGCCUGGAUGUCAUGGGAGGGGAGCUUCUAAGCCUAGUCCAAGAUGUCUCUUUAGUCUCAGCACUGAAACUAGCUACGGUUGACAUAAAUACUUUGUUAGAAGAAGAUAGGGAAGGAUUGAUUGUUGCCAUAUGUGUGCUAGGAGUCACAGCCACAGCCAUAUUUUACACUUCCAAAUUACCAAAAUUUUACAAUGGC
rnacentral:misc_RNA from 1 species